CGGGACGUGGCGCAGAUGGGUAGCGCACUGGACUGGGGGUCCAGUGGUCGGAGGUUCAAAUCCUCUCGUCCCGACCA
rnacentral:tRNA from 1 species